AUUGAACGCUGGCGGCAUGCCUUACACAUGCAAGUCGAACGGCAGCACGGGGCAACCUGGUGGCGAGUGGCGAACGGGUGAGUAAUGCAUCGGAACGUACCUUUCAGUGGGGGAUAACGUAGCGAAAGUUACGCUAAUACCGCAUAUUCCGUGAGCAGGAAAGCAGGGGAUCGCAAGACCUUGCGCUGAUUGAGCGGCCGACGUCAGAUUAGCUAGUUGGUGAGGUAAAGGCUCACCAAGGCGACGAUCUGUAGCGGGUCUGAGAGGAUGAUCCGCCACACUGGAACUGAGACACGGUCCAGACUCCUACGGGAGGCAGCAGUGGGGAAUUUUGGACAAUGGGGGCAACCCUGAUCCAGCCAUGCCGCGUGAGUGAAGAAGGCCUUCGGGUUGUAAAGCUCUUUCGGCCGGGAAGAAAUCGCACGGGCUAAUACCCUGUGUGGAUGACGGUACCGGAAUAAGAAGCACCGGCUAACUACGUGCCAGCAGCCGCGGUAACAC
rnacentral:rRNA from 1 species